rnacentral:rRNA from 1 species
AUUGAACGCUGGCGGCAGGCCUAACACAUGCAAGUCGAGCGGUAGCACAGAGAGCUUGCUCUCGGGUGACGAGCGGCGGACGGGUGAGUAAUGUCUGGGAAACUGCCUGAUGGAGGGGGAUAACUACUGGAAACGGUAGCUAAUACCGCAUAACGUCGCAAGACCAAAGUGGGGGACCUUCGGGCCUCAUGCCAUCAGAUGUGCCCAGAUGGGAUUAGCUGGUAGGUGGGGUAACGGCUCACCUAGGCGACGAUCCCUAGCUGGUCUGAGAGGAUGACCAGCCACACUGGAACUGAGACACGGUCCAGACUCCUACGGGAGGCAGCAGUGGGAAUAUUGCACAAUGGGCGCAAGCCUGAUGCAGCCAUGCCGCGUGUGUGAAGAAGGCCUUCGGGUUGUAAAGCACUUUCAGCGGGGAGGAAGGCAUUAAGGUUAAUAACCUUAGUGAUUGACGUUACCCGCAGAAGAAGCACCGGCUAACUCCGUGCCAGCAGCCGCAGUAA